rnacentral:rRNA from 1 species
GAUGAACGCUGGCGGCGUGCUUAACACAUGCAAGUCGAGCGAGAGAGUUCUUCGGAACAAUCUAGCGGCGGACGGGUGAGUAACACGUGGGCAACCUGCCUCAUAGAGGGGAAUAGCCUUCCGAAAGGAAGAUUAAUACCGCAUAACAUCGUUGAAGGGCAUCCUUCGAUGAUCAAAGGAGCAAUCCGCUAUGAGAUGGGCCCGCGGCGCAUUAGCUAGUUGGUGAGGUAACGGCUCACCAAGGCGACGAUGCGUAGCCGACCUGAGAGGGUGAUCGGCCACAUUGGGACUGAGACACGGCCCAGACUCCUACGGGAGGCAGAAGUGGGGAAUAUUGCACAAUGGGGUAAACCCUGAUGCAGCAACGCCGCGUGAGUGAUGACGGCCUUCGGGUUGUAAAGCUCUGUCUUUGGGGACGAUAAUGACGGUACCCAAGGAGGAAGUCACGGCUAACUACGUGCCAGCCGCCGCGGUAA